rnacentral:tRNA from 1 species
GGGAUCAUAGCUCAAUUGGUUAGAGCACUCGCCUGUCACGCGAGAGGUUGCCGGUUCGAUCCCGGUUGGUCCCG